GCGGUGGUCAAACGGUCAUCACAGUGGGCUUCGGACCCUUCAGUCCUGGGUUCGAAUCUCCGAGUCGCA
rnacentral:tRNA from 1 species